AUAUCAAUAAGCGGAGGAAAAGAAACUAACAAGGAUUCCCCUAGUAACGGCGAGCGAAGCGGGAAGAGCUCAAAUUUGAAAGCUGGCACCUCCGGUGUCCGCGUUGUAAUCUCGAGACGUGUUUUCCGUGCGGCUCUAUGGACAAGUCCCUUGGAAUAGGGCAUCGUAGAGGGUGAGAAUCCCGUACUUGCCAUGGAAGAACCGUGCUUUGUGAUACACGCUCUAAGAGUCGAGUUGUUUGGGAUUGCAGCUCAAAAUGGGUGGUAGACUCCAUCUAAAGCUAAAUAUCGGGGAGAGACCGAUAGCGAACAAGUACCGUGAGGGAAAGAUGAAAAGCACUUUGGAAAGAGAGUUAAAAGUAC
rnacentral:rRNA from 1 species